AAACUAAGUUUCCAACGUCUAGCACACAUCGUUUACGGCAUGGACUACGAGGGUAUCUAAUCCUCUUCGCUACCCAUGCUUUCGUUCCUCAGUGUCAGUAAUGAUCCAGAAAGUUGCCUUCGCUUUUGAUGUUCUUUCUAAUAUCUACGAAUUUCACCUCUACACUAGAAAUUCCACUUUCCUCUAUCAUACUCUAGCUAAAAAGUUUUGAUGGCAGUUCCAAGGUUGAGCCUUGGGAUUUCACCAUCAACUUUUUUAACCACCUACGAACUCUUUAAGCCCAGUAAUUCCGAACUACGCUAGGUCCCUUCGUAUUACCGCGGCUGCUGGCACGAAGUUAGCCGGACCUUCUUAUUCGGGUACAGUCAUUUUCUUCCCCGACGAAAGAGUUUUACAACCCAAAGGCCUUCUUCACUCACGCGGCAUCGCUGCAUCAGGGUUUCCCCCAUUGUGCAAGAUUCCCCACUGCUGCCUCCCGUAGGAGUUUGGGCCGUGUCUCAGUCCCAAUGUGGCUGGUCUUCCUCUAAGAACAGCUAUUGAUCGUUGCCUUGGUAAGCUUUUACCUUACCAACUAGCUAAUCAAGUGCGGGCUCAUCUUUUGGCAUUAAAACUUUCCCUGUAAAGGCUUAUCCGGUAUUAGCACAAGUUUCCUCGUGUUAUUCCAGACCAAAAGGCAGAUUCCCACAUUAUACUCACCCGUUUGCCACUCAGUAUUGCUACUGCGUUCGACUUGCAUGUGUUAGGCGUGCCGCCAGCGUACGUUCUGAGCCAGGAUCAAACUCU
rnacentral:rRNA from 1 species